CUACGGGCUGCACCAGUGAGGAAUAUUGGUCAAUGGGCGAAAGCCUGAACCAGCCAAUCCGCGUGCAGGAUGACUGCCCGAUGGGUUGUAAACUGCUUUUAUACAGGAAGAACUUCCCCGACGUGUCGGGGCGUGACGGUACUGUAAGAAUAAGCAUCGGCUAACUCCGUGCCAGCAGCCGCGGUAAUACGGAGGAUGCAAGCGUUAUCCGGAUUUAUUAGGUCUAAAGGGUGCGUAGGCGGAUGAUUAAGUCAGUGGUGAAAUCCUACAGCUUAACUGUAGAACUGCCAUUGAUACUGGUUAUCUUGAGUUUAGUUGAGGUAGGCGGAAUGUGUGGUGUAGCGGUGAAAUGCUUAGAUAUCACACAGAACACCGAUUGCGAAGGCAGCUUACUAAGCUACAACUGACGCUGAGGCACGAAAGCGUGGGGAGCGAACAGGAUUAGAUACCCGGGUAGUC
rnacentral:rRNA from 1 species